rnacentral:rRNA from 1 species
CACUGCCGAGAAAAGCCUCUAGAUAGAAAAUAGGUGCCCGUACCGCAAACCGACACAGGUAGUCAAGAUGAGAAUUCUAAGGUGAGCGAGCGAACUCUCGUUAAGGAACUCGGCAAAAUGACCCCGUAACUUCGGGAGAAGGGGUGCUCUUUAGGGUUAACGCCCAGAAGAGCCGCAGUGAAUAGGCCCAAGCGACUGUUUAUCAAAAACACAGGUCUCUGCUAAACCGUAAGGUGAUGUAUAGGGGCUGACGCCUGCCCGGUGCUGGAAGGUUAAGAGGAGUGGUUAGCUUCUGCGAAGCUACGAAUCGAAGCCCCAGUAAACGGCGGCCGUAACUAUAACGGUCCUAAGGUAGC